UACAGAGGUGGCAAGCGUUGUUCGGAAUUACUGGGCGUAAAGGGCGCGUAGGCGGCCCUCUCAGUCAGACGUGAAAUCCCCAGGCUUAACUUGGGAACUGCGUCUGAUACUGGAGGGCUUGAGUGCGGGAGAGGGAUGUGGAAUUCCAGGUGUAGCGGUGAAAUGCGCAGAUAUCGGGAGGAACACCUAUGGCGAAGGCAGCUCGCUGGGACGUUACUGACGCUGAGACGCGAAAGCGUGGGGAGCAAACAGG
rnacentral:rRNA from 1 species